rnacentral:rRNA from 1 species
ACGAACGCUGGCGGCGUGCUUAACACAUGCAAGUCGAACGGUGACCUCGGAGCUUGCUCCGGGCGAUCAGUGGCGAACGGGUGAGUAACACGUGAGUAACCUGCCCCAGACUCUGGGAUAACAUCGGGAAACCGGUGCUAAUACCGGAUAUGAGACGAGACUGCAUGGUCAUCGUCUGGAAAGAUUUAUCGGUCUGGGAUGGACUCGCGGCCUAUCAGCUAGUUGGUGAGGUAAUGGCUCACCAAGGCGACGACGGGUAGCCGGCCUGAGAGGGCGACCGGCCACACUGGAACUGAGACACGGUCCAGACUCCUACGGGAGGCAGCAGUGGGGAAUAUUGCACAAUGGGCGCAAGCCUGAUGCAGCAACGCCGCGUGGGGGAUGAAGGCCUUCGGGUUGUAAACCCCUUUUAGCAGGGAAGAAGCGAAAGUGACGGUACCUGCAGAAAAAGCGCCGGCUAACUACGU